UUAGGAAUUUUCCGCAAUGGACGAAAGUCUGACGGAGCGACGCCGCGUGGAGGAUGAAGAUCUUCGGAUUGUAAACUUCUUUUAUAUGGGAAGAUUAUGACGGUACCAUAUGAAUAAGCACCGGCUAACUACGUGCCAGCAGCCGCGGUAAUACGUAGGGUGCAAGCGUUAUCCGGAAUUACUGGGCGUAAAGAGUGCGUAGGUGGUUUUUUAAGUUAGAUGUUAAAUCUGCAGGCUUAACUUGCGGGCCGCAUCUAAUACUGGGGAACUUGAGAGUGGAAGAGGCAGACGGAAUUCACGGUGGAGCGGUAAAAUGCAUAGAUAUCGUGAGGAACACCAAUGGCGAAGGCAGUCUGCUGGGCCAUUUCUGACACUGAGGCACGAAAGCGUGGGGAGCGAUCGGGAUUAGAUACCCCGGUAGUCCACGCCGUAAACGAUGGAUACUAGCUUUUUCGAGUAUCGACCCUUGGAGAAGCGAAGCUAACGCGUUAAGUAUCCCGCCU
rnacentral:rRNA from 1 species